CAUCAUCUUAGUUAGAUAAUGCCUGGGAAAAUAGGAGGGGAAAUGUUGACAGAAAGCAGAGAAGGAGGCCAGUCUUAUCCCUGGCAUGAGGAGAGCAGAAUCCUAGGCACCUCUACAUACAGCUAUCAGAGGUGAAGAACGCACAGAGUGGCAAAGGAAAGCCGGAGGUGGAAUUAGGAGCAGGGCUUAGAGCAGAAGUGCAGGAUGCCCACCCUCUUUGAAUUUCAGGUGUUUAUGUGUACCACGUGUGUACAGAAGCCCCAGAUCCCGUGGAAAUGGCAUUACAGGCAGUUGUGAACCAUCAUGUUGGUGCUAGGAACUGAACAUGGGUUCUCUGCAAGAAUGAUCUGGACAUGCAGGAGGACUUCAAACACUUGUUCCAGUCAUUUUCCAUGCCUGCUGUUCUUUUCAUUAGAGUUAUUUGCUCCUGCGUUUUGAUCUAGAGCUCCUUGUCUUUCUCUCAUCUGUUACCAUGCGGGAAAAUGAUCAAGAGAACUUUAAGAGCUUUAUGACUCAGCCCCUUAAGCAAACUGCUCAGUGAAAAAUUUGGAACUUUGUGCUCUGGCGGAAAUAUGUUUAUUUCUGUUCAUUUUUCAUCACCUGCAUAUGAGAGAUGUAAUGGGAGCCACUUGAUUGCCUGCCCUGCCACAGAGAAGUAGGAUACGCCCAACUGUUGUGGUUAUUCAUAGCAGGAGCUGGCCCUUUAUAAUCCAGUCUCUGGAUGACCCCUCAGAGCAAGGACAGAGCUGACUCCAUUUUCUGAGAAGAUUAAAAGUGAAAUGUAUUAUUGAUGACUCUGGAAACAUCGUUUUCACUUGUUUCAUCCUAUGCCUGUGUUACAAUUGACAUCAUAAAUAUAAUUCGACCACUAUGUUUAAGUCUCGUUCAUACAAAUGCAGAGCUUCAAUUAGUUUACUCGUAUGAAUGUUUACUGGUCAUCUUGUGUGGGAACCGCUUUUCCAUGAGUGCUAGAGGCACAACACUGGCCAGGGCCACCUUGGGCUACCAGACAUGCAAUAAAAAGUAAGCAGCAAACAAAAUAGGUUGUGUAUACAAAUAAUAAAAUCAGCUAGAGAAAUACGAAGGAUGAUAUUGGAACUGAUCAGGGGACCCACUGAAGACUGAAUAGAAUAACAUGACUCUCAUGAUAAAGGCCUGAACCAGAUGCGUGUCAACCAUAAGAAGAUUUCAAGGGCCUUGUGCAAGCGUAGACACUGUACUCUGGGAGUGAAUUUGACUGCAUCCAGUAAUGGAAGGAAGGCUUGUUCAUAAAGGAUUAUUGAGAGUGUGAAAAUAGAUCCUAAAGACCAUGAAUUCUUCAGAGAAAUGCCAUGCUUUUGUGUGUUGAUGCAUUGACCUAAGGCUGACAGCCUCCAGUUAGCUUUAGAAUGAAGAUUCAACAAAGGAAAGAACAGGGAAUGAUGACCGGGCUAGGACCGUCAGCCCCAUCCCCAACUUUGAGGAGGUAAAGAGGACUGAAGAUGAAAUUGAUCAGUGGUGGCCAAUAAGUUGACCAAUAAUGCUUAUGAAAUGAAGCUUUCUUCAAGGCCCAAAGUAACAGAAUUUGGAGAACUUCUAGUUACCCAGUUAUACAAUACAACAGAGCUUGUAAUUGUAACUUGCUCUCUACUGACCAACCUUCCCUCACCUCUUCCUGCUCCUUAUGCCUCAUCUCCAUUAUUCUCUAUUAUUCUCUAUUCUACCUUCACCUGCUCUGAAAUCAGCACCUUUAGAUUCAACCUGAAGCAUCUGUCUCUCCAAGCCCAGCCUAUUUCACUUGUCAUAAUAACCCCCAGUUUCAUACACUGUUGCAAUAGAAGAAAUCUAUUCUUACGGCCAAGCAGUAUUUCAUUUAUCAGUUCAUUGACAUUUAGGUGUUUAGUUGUUGAUAUUUUGUUGUUGUGUUGAGACAGGUUGUUGUUAUGUCAUUAAGGCUGACCAGGAACUCACAAGAACUCCUGCCUUUUUCUCGUCUGUACGGAGAUUACAGGUAUGUACCACCACACCCAGGUUCUAUGUCUUGACUAUUAUGAAUAGUCCUGAAAUCAAAAUGGGAAUGGGGAUGUCUUUUUAACAUACUGGUUUCAUUUCUUUUGAGUAUGUACCCAGGAGUGAGAUUGCUGGAUCAUGUGUUAGUAUUAUUUUAAAUAUUUUGAGGAGCCGGUUUCCUGUUACCCAUAAUAACUAUGCUGAUUUAGACUCCCAGCAGUUCUCAAGGGUCAGUCUUCUUUGCUGUACAUUCUUGUCAGCGUUUUUAUCUCUUGUCUUCUUAAUAAUAGCAAUUCAGUUAGAAUAAGAUGACAUCUUACAAGGUUUGGAUUUUUACUUCCCUAAUGGUUAGCAAUGGUGAGAAGUUUUUGCAUAUACACAUUGGCCAUUUUUGUGUCUUUCAGAGACAUUUCUAAUUGGGCUG